AAGCGGACCCCGCGGGAGGCGGGGCGGAGCUCCUCUCCGCCCAGGGCGGGUUACAUAUGGGCUCUGUGGAGUCGGCCUUGUGUGAUUCUUUGGUCAAAUUCAGACCUGAUAUGACGGGGCACAACUUAGCUGAAUUUAAUAAUCUGUGAAUCAUAUAUCAAAGGGAGAGGUGGCAUGGAGAAGACCAUUAUAGUAUCAAAGGACCUCAGCAUUUCUUUGGCCUGCACUCUCUAUUCUGGGUUCUCAUUGUUUCAGAUCAUAAACAGUCCUGGCUCCCAUUCCCAGCUCUGCAAAUUCACCUCACUGCUGACCUCCUUCAUAUUCCAGUCUUCUUCUCCCUGAG